GCCCUGGAGGACUAGUGGUUAGGCCACAGCGCUCUCACCGUUGCAGCCCGGGUUCGAUUCCCAGCCAGGGAA